CGAGUUUGAACGGGACGACAUUGAUGUGAGAGGACUUGGGGGGAUUCACUCAUUGAGCCAGUCUCUCUCGCAUUCAGGGGUUGACCCGUUCAAAAGCCAGAGGCCAGAGUCACGGGUGUUGCGUCACAAGUAAUUGAGAACAAUGAUUGUUGGUGGUGUUCAUACAAUGUUAUGACUAAUGAUCUUGUGGUGCUUAUAUAUAGAUAGACAUGAAAAAAUAGGAAGGCGCUUGAAAUAACUCAAAGCAAUGGCAAAACCGCUUUCUCCUCCCUCCUCCUCCUCCUCCUCCUCCUCUCUUAUCAAAAUUUUGUGCUUCCUCUUGAUUUUCAUUAUCAUGGCCGCCCUGGGUCAGUCUUCCUCUCUAGUUAUUUCUUCUAACUUCUAAGCUUUUUUUUUUUUUUGGUAUAUAUAUUUAUAUAUAUCAUUUAUGUGGUGAGUAAUGUAUACGUGAGUUUAGCUCGGUAGUUUGUUCUUGAUGGAAUUGAGAUAUCUGAAUUGUUGUCAUUUGAGGUAUGUUUCACUCUUUCGAAAUACUGAAUCAUAAAAGGCGAUUUGGCAACUGGUAUUUUUGGUAGCAUAACGAGUUUGUGGAUGAGUCUAAGUAAAAUUAAGUGAAUGAUGGUUGUUGUAGGUAGAGCAAGAGGGAACCCCGGAGGCCCUGGCCCUCAUCCGAUACACGACUAAUUUGAAUGAUUGAAGCUCACAGCCAAUUUAUAAAGAGCGAAUGGUCUUCCCAAUGAUCAGAGACAGGUGACAGCGGACCAUCUACUUUGCAAAGCACUUUCCUGGUUUUUCUAUUUAAUGUAUUUGAAAGCCUCUGUCUAAGUUAAAAUUACGGGGAAUAUUUCGAUUCUAGCAAGUACCAUGUAAUGUAAGAAUUAAGAAUUUAUGCAUGGAUUUUCUAUUAAUGUAUUUGAAAGCCUCUGUGCAAGUUAGAUUACGCAAGAGUAUUUCAAUGCUAGGAAUUAGCGAGUAAUGCGGGAAUUCUACGCAUGGAUUUUCUGCUUUGAAGUUCUAAAACAGAUUCUCUUGAAUCCUUUAAUGA